CAGCCGGGAGGAGCUGGAGGCGGCGGCUGCGGCCCUGCCCCCGGCCUGCCCGGCCCUUCCCCGGCCUGCCCGGCUGUGUGACCGGGGCAGGCCGCCUGCCGGCCCUGAGCCGGCUCCUCGCCUGCAGGGUGGGGCACAGACGGGUGGUCGUGCGGGUGAAGCAGCGUGGCUGACCCUUCCCUGGCCGUGUCCUUGGCUCGUAUGUCCCCCCGCAGGGCCCGCCUGGCCCCGAAGCGAGCCUUACACGCUUGCCUCCCUCGUGCCGUCCGCAUGCUGUGUGCUGUGUGGCAUGGCUGGGCCUGGAAGAAGAAUGCAGACGCAGGGGGACGCGUGCUGGGCGAGUCCACUGACAGAGGCCUCCGGAACAGGCAGGUCCACAGCCACAGGAGUAGCCAGGGGCUGGCGAGGGGGCGGGAGGGUCUCCAUGGGGGCAGAGUCUCAGUUUGGGAGGAUGAAAAAGUCCUGGAAAGGGAUCCUGGUGACGGCUGCACAGCGACGUGAGUGUGCUUAACGCCACUGAGUCGUACCCUUAAAAAUGGUUAAAGCAGUAAGUUGUAUGUUACGUGUGUUUUACCGCACCCCACCCCUUCCCCUGCAUUAGAUCACGUUGUGCCUGAACACAUCCUUCCCAGGUUUUAAAAGGCCUGGACCUCUCUCAUCCUGCCGGUGUCCCCUUGAACCGCGCUAGCCCAGGUGCUUUCCGUCCCUGGAGCACACCACCCUCCUCAGCUCUCCUUGCUGUUCUCUCUGACAGAAAUGCUUGUCCCUCUCAUCUUCUCAUGGCUGUGUCCUUUGUAUAUUCAGUCACUUAAUGAACAUGUAUCCAUGCUCACCUUGUGCUGCUUCUGCAAGGAGCAGGAGACACACAGGUGAUAAAGCAGGGAAGGGUUUUCCUCUCACAGACUUUGUAUCUGGCAGAGGGCACCGUCAAUAAACACAAACAGAAAUAUAUCGGAUGGUGGUUAAGUGUUUAAGAAACCACUGGUGAUGUGAUAACGGCUGAGGAUCGCAGAUCUGGUCUAGAUCAGGCGGUCCCAAGGAGCUCUCUGGGGGCUGGCUGCACUGAGACCUUACAAGAUGGAGAAAAUGAUGCUUCCAGGUGAAGUGCCUCGCCCAGGGUCACAGGGCAGAGGAGGGCUGCGACUCAGUGAUGCAGGCCCCCUCCCACAUCUUUCCUCCCCUCGGCUCUGGCCACAGGGAAGGGAGGCUUCAGGAUCAGAGUCUCACAGCCCGGUUUUGGCUCAGGCUUCUCCCAGAGGGGCCUUUGGAACCCUGCCUGUUCACGCAGCACACAGCCCUCUGCUUCACGACCCUGAUUUAGUGCCUUCACAGCCCUCAUCACUCGGAGUAUGGUUCAUCGUCUGUCUCGUGUACUCCCGGGAGCUUCGUCUGUCUCACUCACAGCUGCCUUUGCCGCCUCCAGCCGGGGCUUAGCCCGCAGGAAGCAUUGAUGGAGCCCCCAGAAGGAACCUAGGGUUGGCUCAGCAGGUGACCUGGCCUUCCUAGCUGCUGCCUGAGACAGCCAUAUAGACGUCAACGUGGUCCUCCCAGCAGCCUUUAGGCCCAUUUUACAGAGCAGGAAGUGGAGGCUCUGGAAGGGAGAACCAGGAUUCAGGCGGCAGACGGGAUUGUUUUUCCACUGACGACAACCCUCUCCCCCUCUCCCAAACUUGUCCCGGGUUAAAGAGGCAGUAAGUGGGGGGCUUUAGUCAACUGUGGGGACCCACGGGGAUGACCACGAGGAGUCCUUAACUAAAAUAGGUGUGUCUGGGGAAUUCCCUGGUGGUCCAGUAGUUAAGACUCCAAGCUACAAUGCAACGGGUGAGGGUUCGAUCCCUGGUUGGGGAACUAAGAUCCCACGUGCCACGCGGUGCAGCCCCCCUCCCCCAAAAUGUGUCUAUUUACAUCACAUGUCACCUCUGAAAGGACAAGGGUGGCCACACCCUUUGGCAGCACAGCCUUCCUCAGUGGCACCAAUGGUUGAUGGGGGGACUUCCCUGGUGGCGCAGUGGUUAAGAAUCCACCUGCCAAUGCAGGGGACACAAGUUUGAGCCCUGCUCCGGGAAGCUCCCACAUGCUGUGGAGAAACUAAGCCCGUGAGCUACAACUACGGAGCUCGUGCGCCACAACUACUGAAGCCCAUGUGCCGUAACUACUGAAGCCCAUGCGCCUAGAGCCCAUGCUCUGCAACGAGAGGCCCCCCGCAGUGAGAAGCCCGCGCACUGCAAUGAAGAGUAGCCCCACCCCGCCCCCCACAACUAGAGAAAGCCUGCAUGCAGCAACGAAGACCCAAUGCAACCAAAAAAAAAGAAGAAGAUGCUUGAGGAGUCUAAAUGCACGGCGUCUGCAACUUCCUCCCAGGCCAGCAAGAUGGGGAGGCCCCGCCGGCCUGUGGGUCCUGAGGAUCAACAGGAAAAAUUCCUCCAUCUCCCUACCGCACUUGCCUUGUCCCACUGCCAGCAGCGCGGAGGAACUGGCAGAGCCCCAGACACCACUCGCCCGCAAAGAGCUUGUACGACAUGUGGGGGCCAACAUGUAAUUACAGGAUCCCAGACUUGAAGGCAAUUCUCCUGCUGCUGCAGGAGGCACGAGGCCAUCAAUGCCUCUUGUGACGCUAGUUCAUCGUUAACGGGAGACAUUGUCACGGAAGCAUCUGUUUUUAAAAAGCUAGCUUUCCCUCCCCACCAAAUUGUAAUGUGUUCAGGAUUUUUAAAUCUUAUUUUUGUCUCAGUUUCCUCCGGCUCUGCCUCAUUCCCCCAAAUUCGGAGAAAAUCCACUCUUUCAAUAUCAAGAUAUAUAUCUAUCCCUGGAACGGUAUCCUUUCUUCUCCCUUGUCUGGUUUUAGACAUAAAAAGUGCAUUACGUACAAUGUAACUCAUCGAUGCAGGUUCCUGUACUUUGCAUAAGGAGUAUGAUCUUGCAGUAAUAAACAGAUUUCAGUAACUGACCAUGUGAGAACACAUCAUAGGGUAUAGGUUUGGAAUUCUAACAUUUUCUCAUGUUGGAGACAAUGUCUAAAGCAAUGAUACUCAAAAUGAAGUCUGCAGACCACUCCUGCUCUGUCCAGUGUUUACUGGUCUGUGACAAGAAAGUACAGAAAUCGGAAACAGGCAUGUAGAAACUUCUUUAGCAAUUUGACCUUUUAAUGACAUCAGGAGUGGCUUCUGUAGACUUGUCAUUUAUUUUACAAAACACACUGAGAAGACCCAAGCCUGCUCCUUCGCCACACAGAGAACCCACCUAAAAUUUUUUGUACAUGAUAUGAACUCUACUUAGAAACCCAAGACAAUCAGUUAAAAAACUACCAGAAGAAGGGUAGGUACACAGCAAAAAAAACAAAACAAAACAAAACAAAAAAAACAAAAGGCAAAACAAAAUCAAUAGCAGCUCUACAUACAAAUACUACCUCCUUAGAAAACAGAAGAUCCUUUUUACAAUAGAAGCCAAGAUGAAAAUGCCUAGGAAUAAACUCAAAAAUGUGCAAAAUCUUUAUGAAUGAUUUUUCUCCCUUUAAGAACUGGAAGACAUAAGGAAUUUUCUUGACGAAAUUGAGGUGUUUUAGCUGAUUAAGAAGGAUCCUGACCACUUUGCAAUAAUUCAAAAGAACAUACAAGAAAGCCAAGGUGUGGGUCCAGGAACUCAUGGCUUCUUGAAGAGACCGAAAAACACGUCUGCUUCUAUGAAUCUGCCUGUUCUAGAUAUUUCAUGUAAAGGGAUCAUACACUAUUGGUCUUUCCUGUCUAGCCUCUCACUAGGCUUGUAAUGUUUUCAAGGUUCAUCCACGGUGUAGCAUGCUGCACCACUCCAUCUCUUUUUAUGGGUGAAUAAUAUUCCAUUGGGUGGAUGGACCA